rnacentral:rRNA from 1 species
CAGUAGCCGCGGUAAUACGAAGGCCCCGAGCGUUGUCCGGAAUCACUGGGCGUAAAGGGAGCGUAGGCGGCGUGGUAAGUCAGAUGUGAAAUCCCGGGGCUCAACCCCGGAACUGCAUCCGAUACUGCCGUGCUAGAGGAUUGGAGAGGUAGCUGGAAUUCUUGGUGUAGCAGUGAAAUGCGUGGAGAUCAAGAGGAACACUCGUGGCGAAAGCGAGCUACUGGACAAUAUCUGACGCUGAGGCUCGAAGGCCAGGGUAGCGAAAGGGAUUAGAUACCCCCGUAGUCCCUGUCUCUUAUAC